rnacentral:rRNA from 1 species
CCUACGGGAGGCAGCAGUGGGGAAUAUUGGACAAUGGGGGCAACCCUGAUCCAGCAAUUCUGUGUGCACGAAGAAGGUUUUCGGAUUGUAAAGUGCUUUCAGCAGGGAAGAAGAAAGUGACGGUACCUGCAGAAGAAGCGACGGCUAAAUACGUGCCAGCAGCCGCGGUAAUACGUAUGUCGCAAGCGUUAUCCGGAAUUAUUGGGCAUAAAGGGCAUCUAGGCGGCCAGACAAGUCUGGGGUGAAAACUUGCGGCUCAACCGCAAGCCUGCCCUGGAAACUGUCUGGCUAGAGUGCUGGAGAGGUGGACGGAACUGCACGAGUAGAGGUGAAAUUCGUAGAUAUGUGCAGGAAUGCCGAUGAUGAAGAUAGUUCACUGGACGGCAACUGACGCUGAAGUGCGAAAGCUAGGGGAGCGAACAGGAUUAGAUACCCCAGUAGUC